rnacentral:tRNA from 1 species
GGGGAAGUGGCGGAAUCGGCAGACGCAACGGACUUAAAAUCCGUUGGUGGCAACACCGUGUGGGUUCAAGUCCCAUCUUCCCCACCA